rfam:Naegleria gruberi genomic scaffold NAEGRscaffold_33, whole genome shotgun sequence.
GCGUCGAUGGUUUAGUGGUAGAAUACGGCGUUGCCAUCGCCGUGACCCGGGUUCAAUUCCCGGUCGACGCA